CCUACGGGUUGCACCAGUGGGGAAUAUUGCACAAUGGGCGCAAGCCUGACGCAGCCAUGCCGCGUGUGUGAAGAAGGCCUUCGGGUUGUAAAGCACUUUCAGCGGGGAGGAAGGCGGUGAGGUUAAUAACCUCAUCGAUUGACGUUACCCGCAGAAGAAGCACCGGCUAACUCCGUGCCAGCAGCCGCGGUAAUACGGAGGGUGCAAGCGUUAAUCGGAAUUACUGGGCGUAAAGCGCACGCAGGCGGUCUGUCAAGUCGGAUGUGAAAUCCCCGGGCUCAACCUGGGAACUGCAUUCGAAACUGGCAGGCUAGAGUCUUGUAGAGGGGGGUAGAAUUCCAUGUGUAGCGGUGUAAUGCGUAGAGAUGUGGAGGAAUACCGGUGGCGAAGGCAGCCCCCUGGACAAAGACUGACGCUCAGGUGCGAAAGCGUGGGGAGCAAACGGGAUUAGAUACCCCGGUAGUC
rnacentral:rRNA from 1 species